CAGUAGCCGCGGUAAUACGUAGGUGGCAAGCGCUGUCCGGAAUUAUUGGGCGUAAAGGGCUCGCAGGCGGUUUCUUAAGUCUGAUGUGAAAGCCCCCGGCUCAACCGGGGAGGGUCAUUGGAAACUGGGAAACUUGAGUGCAGAAGAGGAGAGUGGAAUUCCACGUGUAGCGGUGAAAUGCGUAGAGAUGUGGAGGAACACCAGUGGCGAAGGCGACUCUCUGGUCUGUAACUGACGCUGAGGAGCGAAAGCGUGGGGAGCGAACAGGAUUAGAUACCCCUGUAGUCCCUGUCUCUUAUAC
rnacentral:rRNA from 1 species